rnacentral:rRNA from 1 species
AAUGAACGUUGGCGGCGUGGAUUAGGCAUGCAAGUCGUGCGAGAAUCGUAGCAAUACGAGGAAAGCGGCGAAAGGGAGAGUAAUGCAUGGAUAUCUACCCUCGGGUCUGGGAUAGCUACGGGAAACUGUAGGUAAUACCAGAUGACAUCUCCGGAUCAAAGGUGUGAUUCCGCCCGAGGAGGAGUCCAUGUCCUAUUAGCUAGUUGGUGAGGUAACGGCCCACCAAGGCUGAGAUGGGUAUGGGGUGUGAGAGCACGACCCCACUCACUGGGACUGAGAUACUGCCCAGACACCUGCGGGUGGCUGCAGUCGAGAAUCUUCGGCAAUGGGCGCAAGCCUGACCGAGCGACGCCGCGUGCGGGAUGAAGGCCUUCGGGUUGUAAACCGCUGUCAGUGUGGAGGAAAUUCCUAGGGGUAAUCUCCUAGGAUUUACCUAUACGCAGAGGAAGGAUGGGCUAAGUUCGUGCCAGCAGCCGCAGUAA